CCAUGAGACAACAAAUGCGGGUUGCUUAAGCAGCUAAAUCCAUGGUAAUUAGGAAUACAGCAACCCAAAACAAACAUAAUGUCUGUGACUUGUUUUAAAAUAAGCCAGCAAAAAAUGUGGGGGAAAGGCAAAGCAAACGUGACAAAAUCUGGUUAAUACUUGAAUCUGAGUGAUGAGUAGUUCGCUAUUAUAUUCUGCCUACUUCUCUGAAAAUGAAAAAUUUUAAAGGAUCCUCAUCAGGCUGUCAUCUCCUUAGGUCAAGGGCAAUGACGAUUCCAUUCAUCACUGUGUCUCUGGCAACUAUCGUCGGCACCUGGCACGCCGUGGACCAAUGACUGUUAGAUCAGCUCACUGACAGGAUGCUGUGUUACAGCUUAUGAACUCACAACAUCCUCUUGCACUUGGCAUGACUAACACCAUUUUACAGAUGGGAAAAUGAAUGUUGCUGCUAACAUUUGACAUCAAUCGCCAAAUCACAUGUUGUCACAUCAUUACUCAGCUCCGUGACAAAGGCAGAGGAAAGAGACUGCGGCUGCAAUGGGGCUGUUGGGCGAGGAACCCAUUCGGGGGCCCUGGCGAGGAUGGAAUAGGGAACAGAAUGAAAUCUGGCUAAAGACGCUCUGCAUGAUGGGUCAUGUUGAGGAGGAAACAGAAUAAGAACCUGAUGCCUUAUCA